rfam:Gossypium arboreum cultivar AKA8401 contig_90769_1, whole genome shotgun sequence.
ACUAACCAAAUAUAACACUUGGGCUAAGAGUCAAGUUGGUAAUUUUUCUUACAUCUCCCCCUCCCGGAGCCCAGGU